AUGAAUCUCUACAAAUGGAUACCAUAUGUCAUAUUCAUGAUUAUUUGUGUAUUGCAACUUACAACCUGUUGUAAUCAAGUAAUUGUGGGAGAAAGUGGAUUGAAGAUACAUGGAAAACUUUUGAAGAAGAAGAAAUUUAACUUAUUACUAGAUGAUCUUAGCAAAAUUCAAAACGUGGAAACUAGAAGUCUCUCCUUUUACACCUAUCAACCUUUACAUAUAUUUAACAUCACAUACAUUAAUGAAUAA